GUGGCUUCGCAUAAACUUAAAAACUGAUAAAUUUACUAAUAGUUAUGAGUUUUUGUGACUGUGAAGCCUAAAUUUAUUGUUCUCCUCGCUAUCCAUUUCCAUAAUUAUAUGGAUUUUCGGACGUCGGGGACCGACAUCC
rnacentral:snoRNA from 1 species